rnacentral:rRNA from 1 species
UACGUAGGGUGCGAGCGUUAAUCGGAAUUACUGGGCGUAAAGCGUGCGCAGGCGGUUUUGUAAGCCAGAUGUGAAAUCCCCGGGCUUAACCUGGGAAUGGCAUUUGGGACUGCAAGGCUUGAGUGCGGCAGAGGUGACUGGAAUUCCUGGUGUAGCAGUGAAAUGCGUAGAGAUCAGGAGGAAUACCGAUGGCGAAGGCAGGUCCCUGGGCUGACACUGACGCUCAUGCACGAAAGCGUGGGGAGCAAACAGG